AGAAUAAAUAAAUAAAUAAAAUGAGAAAUCCAUCAAUGGCAAUUUAAAAGACAUCGAAAAUUUGUACUAUUUUUUCACUAUGAAAAUUAUCCAGGUUAGAGGAAAGGAAAAAGAAAUUUGCAAGCCCAUGGAUCUUUCGAGUUUUAUCUAUUGAGCAAUGCAACCAAUUUUUUAAACUAUUGUUAACAGGUUUUUCCUUUUUCUAUUUUUGCCAUUAAAUAACUCCUUAAA
rnacentral:misc_RNA from 1 species